rnacentral:tRNA from 1 species
CUGACUUUAGUUUAUGUUUAGAAUGUUAGUUUUGGGGAUUGGGGGACCUUUAUAGGGAAGUCAGA